UGAAUACGAGACGCUACGGCGUCGAAGCAGUCUAUGUCAGACUUCCAAGAAAAGCUCGCAAUGUCAUAAACAAAUAAUGCCUGUACCAUAACCGACACAGGUGGGUAGGCAGAGUAUACUAAGGGGCGCGAGAUAACUCUCUCUAAGGAACUCGGCAAAAUGACUCCGUAACUUCGGGAGAAGGAGUGCCUUAUUUAUAAGGUUGCAAUAACAAGAUCCAAGCAACUGUUUAUCAAAAACACAGGUCUCCGCUAAGUCGUAAGACGAUGUAUGGGGGCUGACGCCUGCCCAGUGCCAGAAGGUUAAAGAAGUUGGUUAGCAUUCGCGAAGCUGAUAACUGAAGCCCUGGUGAACGGCGGCCGUAACAAUAACGGUCCUAAGGUAGCGAAAUUCCUUGUCGGGUAAGUUCCGACCCGCACGAAAGGCGUAAUGAUUUGGAUACUGUCUCGGAGAGGGGCUCGGUGAAAUAGACUUGUCUGUGAAGAUGCGGACUACCUGCACCUGGACAGAAAGACCCUAUGAAGCUUUACUGUAACUUGAAAUUGAAAUUGGACUUUAUUUGCGCAGCAUAGGUGGGAGGCUUUGAGAGUAUUCUUGCGGGAAUAUUGGAGCCAUCAGUGAGAUACCACUCUUGUAAUGUUAGAUUUCUAACUUUGUAUCAUUAUCUGGUCAAAGAACAGUUUCAGGCGGGCAGUUUGACUGGGGCGGUCGCCUCCCGAAUGGUAGCGGAGGCGUACAAAGGUUUCCUCUGAACGGGUAGAAAUCGUAUCUAGAGUGUAAAGGCAUAAGGAAGCUUGACUGUGAGACCUACAAGUCGAGCAGGGACGAAAGUCGGUCUUAGUGAUCUGACGGUGCUGAGUGGAAAGGCCGUCACUCAACGGAUAAAAGUUACUCUAGGAUAACAGGCUGAUCUCCCCCAAGAGUUCACAUCGACGGGGAGGUUUGGCACCUCGAUGUCGGCUCAUCGCAUCCUGGGGCGGUAGUACGUCCCAAGGGUUGGGCUGUUCGCCCAUGAAAGCGGUACGCGAGCUGGGUUCAGAACGUCGUGAGACAGUUCGGUCCAUAUCCGGUGUAGGCGUUAGAAUAUUGAGAGGAGCCUUCUUUAGUACGAGAGGACCGAGAAGGACAUACCUCUGGUGUACCAGUUAUCGUGCCAACGGUAAACGCUGGGUAGCUAUGUAUGGAGAGGAUAACCGCUGAAAGCAUCUAAGUGGGAAGCCCACCUCAAGAUAAG
rnacentral:rRNA from 1 species